rnacentral:rRNA from 1 species
ACGCCGCGNUGAAUGAUGAAGGCCCUUGGGUCGUAAAAUUCUGUCAUAUGGAAAGAAAUGCUUGUACGGCUCCUAUCUAUCAAGUUUGACCUAACUAUCUGCCGACGCCCCCGCUAAUUCCUUGCCGGCAACCGUUAUCCUAAUUUAGUGGCAGUCAUUGUUCUGAAUUACUGGCCGUAAAUCGCACGUAAACUGACUGUUCUCUCCUAUGUGAAAGCCCCUGACUCUGCCAUGCUUGUGCAUUUGAAACUAUAAUACUUUUCUAUUGGAAGCGGUGAUGUACUUCCAUGUGUAGAGGAACACUUCUGACAUAUGCGGAUGAAUACCCGUGGCCUAAGCCACAACCUGGACAACUAGUGACGCUAACGUGAUAAAACACGCUGAUCAUCCACGAUUAAAUCCACUGAUACUCCGCGCCGGAAACAACGACCCCUACUGGUUGGCAUGUUAAAUCAUCUCUUUGCCGCCU